rfam:Triticum aestivum genome assembly, contig: Triticum_aestivum_CS42_TGACv1_scaffold_250743_3DL
GAUGUACUCCCUCCGUUCCAAAUUACUCGUCGCAGAAAUGAAUGUACAAGAUGUACAUUCAUUUCUGCGACGAGUAAUUUGGAACGGAGGGAGUACGUU